UACAGGGGGGGCAAGCGUUGUUCGGAAUUACUGGGCGUAAAGGGCUCGUAGGCGGCCGGCUAAGUCCGACGUGAAAUCCCCAGGCUUAACCUGGGAACUGCGUCGGAUACUGGCGGGCUUGAAUCCGGGAGAGGGAUGCGGAAUUCCAGGUGUAGCGGUGAAAUGCGUAGAUAUCUGGAGGAACACCGGUGGCGAAGGCGGCAUCCUGGACCGGCAUUGACGCUGAGGAGCGAAAGCUAGGGGAGCAAACGGG
rnacentral:rRNA from 1 species